UAGGGAAUCUUCCAUAACGGACGCAAGUCUGAUGGAGCAACGCCGCGUGAGUGAAGAAGGUCUUCGGAUCGUAAAACUCUGUUGUUAGAGAAGAACACGAGUGAGAGUAACUGUUCAUUCGAUGACGGUAUCUAACCAGCAAGUCACGGCUAACUACGUGCUAG
rnacentral:rRNA from 1 species